rnacentral:rRNA from 1 species
AUUGAACGCUGGCGGCAGGCCUAACACAUGCAAGUCGAACGAGUUGCGAACGGGUGAGUAACGCGUAGGUAACUGCCUCAUAGCGGGGGACAACUCUUGGAAACGAUAGCUAAUACCGCAUACUGUGAGAUGGACCUGCGUUGUAUUAGGUAGUUGGUGUGGUAAAGGCUCACCAAGGCGACGGUACAUAGCCGACCUGAGAUGGUUAGCGGCCACACUGGGAAUGGGACACGGCCCAGACUGCUGCGGGAGGCAGCAGUAGGGAAUCUGCGGGCAUGGACGGAAGGCUGACCGAGCAACGCCGCGGUAGUGGAGAAGGUUUUCGGAUCGGAAAGCUCUGUUGUUAGAGAAGCGGUAACUAACCAGAAAGAGACGGCUAACUACGUGCCAGCAGCCGCGGUAAUUC